rnacentral:rRNA from 1 species
CCUACGGGAGGCAGCAGUAGGGAAUAUUGCUCAAUGGGGGCAACCCUGAUGCAGCAACGCCGCGUGGAGGAUGAAGGUUUUCGGAUUGUAAACUCCUUUUGUGAGAGAGGAUGAUGACGGUAUCUCUCGACUUAGCACUGGCUAACUCCGGGCCAGCAGCCGCGGUAAUACGGAGGGUGCAAGCGUUCCUCGGAAUCACUGGGCGGAAAGAGGGCGCAGGCGGGUGUGUAAGUCAGAUGUGAAUUCCCGUAGCUUAACUACAGAACUGCAUUUGAAACUAUGAGGCUAGAGUGUGGUAGAGGUAGGUAGAAUUCUAGGUGUAGGGGUAAAAUGCGUAGAGAUGAAGAGGAAUACUCAUGGCGAAGGCGACCUACUGGAACAAGACUGACGCUCAUGCACGAAAGCGUGGGGAGCAAACAGGAUUAGAUACCCCAGUAGUC